rnacentral:rRNA from 1 species
AUGGGCGAAAGCCUGAUCUAGCGAUGCCGCGUGAGUGAUGAAGGCCCUAGGGUCGUAAAGCUCUUUCGCCAGGGAUGAUAAUGACAGUACCUGGUAAAGAAACCCCGGCUAACUCCGUGCCAGCAGCCGCGGUAAUACGGAGGGGGUUAGCGUUGUUCGGAAUUACUGGGCGUAAAGCGCACGUAGGCGGACCGAAAAGUUGGGGGUGAAAUCCCGGGGCUCAACCCCGGAACUGCCUCCAAAACUGCCGGUCUAGAGUUCGAGAGAGGUGAGUGGAAUUCCGAGUGUAAGGUGAAAUCGUAGAUAUUCGGAGGAACACCAGUGGCGAAGGCGGCUCACUGGSCU